UGUAACACUUUGGGGUAUCCACCCAGUGUUAUAAACAGCUGAGUAGCAUAUUAUAUAGGUACUUUAUAGGUUAGAAAAUGGUAUGUUUGUUUUGGUAAGAUUUGGUAGUUGAAAUGUCUUCGACACGGAUGUCAUAGUGGGUCAGUCAAGGACUGAGACCUGUAGUGAUAUUUUCAACUUUACAGAUACGCUUUUAGCUAUAUUGAGUGGACAAAACUUACCGGAGCGUUAGGUCAGUCUGUGCGUUCACUCCGUUGCAUUUUGCACAUCCAUGUCGUGUUCCUGCGUUGUGCUAGGACACAGGCACUUUGUUUUCGUUGUGGUAUAUACAUUUCACAAUUGAAACACAUUUUAAAACAUAGAAAUACCACGUAUUAACAGUAUGAUUUCGAUAAAACCGAGCAGUUGUUUAUUUCAGCGGUAGACACUGACGGCUGUCAAUGUCAUUUGGUUUUUUUGUCCAUGGUUCCGUAACAGAUGGUCGGUCACACUUGUUGUACGACAAUAAACAUAUACUUGUGGUUCUUUUAUCUUUUUAUAAUUUCCAAUUAUUAAUAUAGUCCGUAUUAUUUGCUUCCUAAAAUGAGUAACUCUUUUUAUUGUUGAUAUUUCGAAUUAUUCCGAGAGUCAAACCGGUCAGUUGUGGUAUCCAUUGAAUGAGAAGGUUUUCAUUCAUCAGUUUGUCUGUGGUUUCUCGGAUUGGAAUUUUGAUAAAUCAUUGUUCGAUCGAUCUUCAAGAUGUGAAGGAUAUUAGAAAAUCUUUCGGCAAUCAAUCUUAGGGCUCGUCCCAAAAUGUGCAUAAUUUAGCGUCUUAGAGCCUACCUAAAAUGGCGGCUGCUAAUCUUUUCUCUUCAAUUUAACAUAACUUGGUGAGUUUCCACACUUUUUAAAUAUAUAAAGAAGGAAAGGCGGAGGUAGUGUGUCCUUUCGCAAAUGGGUUAAUAUAGUGUUUUAUGUGGAUUUUCCAGCAAAACCUAAUGUAACGUCAACCACCUCUUCGUCUUGCCACGCGGUCUGCAGGCGCCGUCGUUGGUAUAGGAAAUAAUGGACCCGGCAUAAACCCCGGUAAGUCAUUUAAUCGCUUCAUUGCCGUAAUUUAAAUCGCGCUGUGCCGCAGUUUAAAAUAUAAUUUUUCUAUAAAACUAAACGUGUUAAAACAUAAUUUUUUAACAUAGAACAUUUUCUUUGUUCUUAGGGUUUUUUUCCUGGACCCUGGUUUUUUCUGGACCCUGGUUUUUCCUGGACCCUGGUUCUCUAAGGCUGUGCCAUCCGGUGGCAGCGUUCUUCUUGGCAGUGUCCGUGAAGUUAAGACUUUUAUGAGAUACCUUUAGUUAAAUAUGGACCCUUUACGCUGAACAGGUAACCUGUAAUCCCUGUGAGCAAUUGCUUACUGCUAAACAUCCCCGGAGGUUGGGGCAUAACUUUUACUUUAGACAGUGUUAUGUUAGGAAGACAAAUUUUGAUAUUGUUGUCCGUAGACACAGAGAUGUCUAUGAUGUAUUUAGUGUAAAUUUCAAGAAAUAGUGGUGUCACUAAGAAGUAUUUAGUAUUACUUAUUUACUAAUAAAUAACUCGUGUUGACCGUAGCGGGUCAUAUAUAUUUAAGGAAUAAACUGUGUAUUAAAUAAA